rnacentral:lncRNA from 1 species
AAAAUCUGAACUAACGGAACGCGCAUGCCUACUGACGUAUCGAUGUUGUGGGCACUUUUUUAAGUCAUGAUGGGCUUUUUAAUCUAGAGUCCAUUAAAAACUCAACAGAAGAGUUAGGACCACAAGUAUCGACUUUUUGAUACGAAGCCCAUGUAUGACCGAAUAGAUAAUCCCACUUGGUUAAAACAAUAAAUAUAAAAAUGAAAAAAAAAUCUUAAACCCAC